rnacentral:rRNA from 1 species
GACAGAGGUGCCGAGCGUUAGGCGGAAUCACUGGGCUUAAAGCGUGUUUAGGCGGAUCCGUAAGUACCUUGUGAAAUCCCACGGCUCAACCGUGGAACUGCUCGGUAUACUGCGGGUCUUGAGCCACUUAGGGGCAACCGGAACAAACGGUGGAGCGGUGAAAUGCGUAGAUAUCGUUUGGAACGCCGAUGGUGAAAACAGGUUGCUGGGAGUGCGCUGACGCUGAGACACGAAAGCCAGGGGAGCGAACGGG